AACGAACGCUGGCGGCGUGCCUAACACAUGCAAGUCGUGCGAGAAAGUUUCCUUCGGGGAGCGAGUAAAGCGGCGCACGGGUGAGUAACACGUAGGUAACCUACCUUUCAGUCCGGAAUAACCAGCUGAAAAGCUGGGCUAAUGCCGGGUAAGACCACGAUCUCUGCGGGGAUCGCGGCCAAAGGCGGCCUCCUCAUGAAAGCUGAUGCUGAGAGAU
rnacentral:rRNA from 1 species